AGAGUUUGAUCCUGGCUCAGAACGAACGCUGGCGGCGCGCCUAAUACAUGCAAGUCGAGCGAGAAGACGUAGCAAUACGUUUGUAAAGCGGCGAACGGGUGAGGAAUACAUGGGUAACCUACCCUCGAGUGGGGAAUAACUAGCCGAAAGGUUAGCUAAUACCGCAUACGACUCUUGGUCUGCGGAUCGAGAGGGAAAGCGAUACCGUGGGUAUCGCGCUCUUGGAUGGGCUCAUGUCCUAUCAGCUUGUUGGUGAGGUAAUGGCUCACCAAGGCUUCGACGGGUAGCUGGUCUGAGAGGACGAUCAGCCACACUGGCACUGCGACACGGGCCAGACUCCUACGGGAGGCAGCAGUAAGGAAUAUUGCGCAAUGGGCGACAGCCUGACGCAGCGACGCCGCGUGGGGGAUGAAGGUCUUCGGAUUGUAAACCCCUUUCGGCAGGGAAGAUGGAACGGGCAACCGUUCGGACGGUACCUGCAGAAGCAGCCACGGCUAACUUCGUGCCAGCAGCCGCGGUAAUAC
rnacentral:rRNA from 1 species